AUGGACAUAAAAGAACUCAAUUAGUUUGUUAAUUUUGCUUGCAUAUUGGCAACGCUACCUUUAAUAAAGUAAAAAAAUUCUUGACGAAUAACCCGAAAUUUCGUCGUAAAUAGUUUGCGAAAUAAAUUGAUUGAUAUAUUAGGCCAACAAGUUUCUUAAAAUAAUUCGAGUAUUCGCAAUAUUCAUUUUGCCAAAAAAAUUGAAACAAUACAUUUUUAAACAAUUAUUAAAUCUAACCUUAUUUCUUUCACAAUUCCUUGUGAUUUAAAAAUGGCAACCAGUGACAAAACCGUCGAUGAUUCCCUUUACCCAAUUGCUGUUCUUAUAGAUGAGCUCAAAAAUGAAGAUGUCCAAACUUAAAUUCCAAAGAGAUGUAAAUGGCGGAUUAAAAUUUGAUGAAGGCCAAGAGGUAAACUACAAUGUAAAAAGCACCAGAAUACCUACCAGAUCAGCUAACUUAUGUCAGCCAAAUACAGCUGAAAUGAACGAAAUGGGAACGAUUUUAGACUGCACAAAGCUACUAGCAAUAAAAUGAAGAGGGUACUAUUUUACAAAGGACUGCAACUGUUUAAUCUGCUACCAAUGGAAACCAAGAAUGAACAAAAUUUUAAUAUAUUUAAAAGAAAUUGUGUAAUUUUUGUGAAAAAUAAUUGUUCAAUUCACAAUCAAGUUGUAUAUUGUAUCUACUAAAGUGUAGUAACAGUAAUUGUGAACAGA